rnacentral:tRNA from 1 species
GGUAGAAUGGCUGAGUGUAAGUGAUAAAUUGUAAAUUUAUUAAGGAGAAUUUCUCUUCUAUCA